rnacentral:rRNA from 1 species
CGCUGGCGGCUGGCUAAACAUGCAGUCGAACGAGAACCCGCAAGGGGGGACAGUGGCGGAAGGGCGAGUAAUAGUAUCGAACGUACCCCGAGGUGGGGGAUAGGCAUGGGAAACUGUGCGUAAUACCCCAUGAUCUCCACGGAGCAAAGCCGCAAGGCGCCUUGGGAGCGGCGAUAUUCCUAUCAGGUAGUUGGCGGGGUAAAGGCCCACCAAGCCGAAGACGGGUAGCGGGUGUGAGAGCACGGCCGCCGCAUCGAGACUGAGACACUGCUCGGACUCCUACGGGAGGCUGCAGUAACGAAUAUUCCGCAAUGCGCGAAAGCGUGACGGAGCAAUGCCGCGUGCAGGAUGAAGCAGUUUCGCCGUGUAAACUGCUGUCAGGAGUUACUAACACUGAAGAACUCCAGAGGAAGGACCGGCUAAUCUCGUGCCAGCAGCCGCGGUAAUACGAGAGGUCCAAGCGUUAGUCGGAAUCACUGGGUCUUAAAGGGUGCGUAGGCGGGCCAGUAAGUGUCUCGUGAAAUCCCAUGGUCAACCAUGGAACCGGGGGCAUACUGCUGGUCUUGAGGAAGCUAGAGGCUGGUGGAACGAUAGGUGGAGCGGUGGAAUGCGUAGAUAUCUAUCGGAACGCCGAAGGUGAAGACAGCCAGCUGGGGCUUUCCUGACGCUCAGGCACGAAAGCGUGGGGAUCAAACAGGAUUAGAUACCCUGGUAGUCCAGCCCUAAAGGAUGCACACUAGACCGAUGCGGGUCCUGACGUUCGUAAUUGGGACGGUAAGAGAAAACUUGGAUAACAGUUGGUGGCCCGCCUUGGGGGAAGUAACGGGUACGGCAAGGGUAAAAUUCCAAAGGAAUUUGGACGGGGGGUUCCACAACAAG